GUGCUUGCACUCAAUUGGAAAGAGGAGUGGCGGACGGGUGAGUAACACGUGGGUAACCUACCCAUCAGAGGGGGAUAACACUUGGAAACAGGUGCUAAUACCGCAUAACAGUUUAUGCCGCAUGGCAUAAGAGUGAAAGGCGCUUUCGGGUGUCGCUGAUGGAUGGACCCGCGGUGCAUUAGCUAGUUGGUGAGGUAACGGCUCACCAAGGCCACGAUGCAUAGCCGACCUGAGAGGGUGAUCGGCCACACUGGGACUGAGACACGGCCCAGACUCCUACGGGAGGCAGCAGUAGGGAAUCUUCGGCAAUGGACGAAAGUCUGACCGAGCAACGCCGCGUGAGUGAAGAAGGUUUUCGGAUCGUAAAACUCUGUAGUUAGAGAAGAACAAGGACGUUAGUAACUGAACGUCCCCUGACGGUAUCUAACCAGAAAGCCACGGCUAACUACGUGCCAGCAGCCGCGGUAAUACGUAGGUGGCAAGCGUUGUCCGGAUUUAUUGGGCUGUAAAGCGAGCGCAGGCGGUUUCUUAAGUCUGAUGUGAAAGCCCCCGGCUCAACCGGGGAGGGUCAUUGGAAACUGGGAGACUUGAGUGCAGAAGAGGAGAGUGGAAUUCCAUGUGUAGCGUUGAAAUGCGUAGAUAUAUGGAGGAACACCUAGUGGCGAAGGCGGCUCUCUGGUCUGUAACUGACGCUGAGGCUCGAAAGCGUGGGGAGCAAACAGGUAUUAGAUACCCUGGUAGUCCACGCCGUAAACGAUGAGUGCUAAGUGUUGGAGGGUUUCCGCCCUUCAGUGCUGCAGCAAACGCAUUAAGCACUCCGCCUGGGGAGUACGA
rnacentral:rRNA from 1 species